CCCCUAGUAACUGCGAGUGAAGCGGGAAAAGCUCAAAUUUAAAAUCUGGCAGUCUUUGAUUGUCCGAGUUGUAAUCUAGAGAAGUGUUAUCCGCGUUGGACCGUGUACAAGUCUCCUGGAAUGGAGCAUCAUAGAGGGUGAGAAUCCCGUCUUUGACACGGACUACCAGUGCUUUGUGAUGCGCUCUCAAAGAGUCGAGUUGUUUGGGAAUGCAGCUCAAAAUGGGUGGUAAAUUCCAUCUAAAGCUAAAUAUUGGCGAGAGACCGAUAGCGAACAAGUACCGUGAGGGAAAGAUGAAAAGAACUUUGGAAAGAGAGUUAAACAGUACGUGAAAUUGCUGAAAGGGAAACGCUUGAAGUCAGUCGCGUUGGCUGGAAAUCAACCUUGCUUUUGCUGGGCGUACUUUCUAGUCAAUGGGUCAGCAUCAAUUUUGACCAUUGGAAAAAGUGUAGAGGAAUGUGGCAUCUUCGGAUGUGUUAUAGCCUUUGCUCGCAUCAGUGGUUGGGAUUGAGGAAUUCAGCAGGGAAAAAG
rnacentral:rRNA from 1 species